rnacentral:rRNA from 1 species
GACAGAGGGUGCAAACGUUGUUCGGAAUUACUGGGCGUAAAGCGCGUGUAGGCGGCCAUCUAAGUCGGGCGUGAAAUCCCACGGCUCAACCGUGGAAGUGCACUCGAAACUGGAUGGCUAGAGUCCUGGAGAGGAAGGUGGAAUGCUUGGUGUAGAGGUGAAAUUCGUAGAUAUCAAGCGGAACGCCGGUGGCGAAGGCGGCCUUCUGGACAGUGACUGACGCUGAGACGCGAAAGCGUGGGGAGCAAACAGGG